rnacentral:rRNA from 1 species
CGGGUGAGUAACACGUAUCCAACCUGCCAUCUACUCUUGGACAGCCUUCUGAAAGGAAGAUUAAUACAAGAUGGCAUCAUGAGUCCGCAUGUUCACAUGAUUAAAGGUAUUCCGGUAGACGAUGGGGAUGCGUUCCAUUAGAUAGUAGGCGGGGUAACGGCCCACCUAGUCUUCGAUGGAUAGGGGUUCUGAGAGGAAGGUCCCCCACAUUGGAACUGAGACACGGUCCAA